rnacentral:rRNA from 1 species
UGCAGUCGACGAUGAAGCCCUUCGGGGUGGAUUAGUGGCGAACGGGUGAGUAACACGUGGGCAAUCUGCCCUUCACUCUGGGACAAGCCCUGGAAACGGGGUCUAAUACCGGAUACGACGCGCUCGGGCAUCCGAUGUGCGUGGAAAGCUCCGGCGGUGAAGGAUGAGCCCGCGGCCUAUCAGCUUGUUGGUGAGGUAACGGCUCACCAAGGCGACGACGGGUAGCCGGCCUGAGAGGGCGACCGGCCACACUGGGACUGAGACACGGCCCAGACUCCUACGGGAGGCAGCAGUGGGGAAUAUUGCACAAUGGGCGAAAGCCUGAUGCAGCGACGCCGCGUGAGGGAUGACGGCCUUCGGGUUGUAAACCUCUUUCAGCAGGGAAGAAGCGAAAGUGACGGUACCUGCAGAAGAAGCGCCGGCUAACUACGUGCCAGCAGCCGCGGUAAUACGUAGGGCGCGAGCGUUGUCCGGAAUUAUUGGGCGUAAAGAGCUCGUAGGCGGUCUGUCGCGUCGGAUGUGAAAGCCCGGGGCUUAACCCCGGGUCUGCAUUCGAUACGGGCAGACUAGAGUGUGGUAGGGGAGAUCGGAAUUCCUGGUGUAGCGGUGAAAUGCGCAGAUAUCAGGAGGAACACCGGUGGCGAAGGCGGAUCUCUGGGCCAUUACUGACGCUGAGGAGCGAAAGCGUGGGGAGCGAACAGGAUUAGAUACCCUGGUAGUCCACGCCGUAAACGGUGGGAACUAGGUGUUGGCGACAUUCCACGUCGUCGGUGCCGCAGCUAACGCAUUAAGUUCCCCGCCUGGGGAGUA